GUACACUCCUGCGGGAGGCAGCAGUGAGGAAUAUUGGACAAUGGGUGGAAGCCUGAUCCAGCCAUCCCGCGUGCAGGAAGACGGCCCUAUGGGUUGUAAACUGCUUUUAUCUGGGGAUAAACCUACUUACGUGUAAGUAGCUGAAGGUACCAGAAGAAUAAGCACCGGCUAACUCCGUGCCAGCAGCCGCGGUAAUACGGAGGGUGCAAGCGUUAUCCGGAUUUAUUGGGUUUAAAGGGUCCGUAGGCGGACUGAUAAGUCAGUGGUGAAAUCCGACAGCUUAACUGUCGAACUGCCAUUGAUACUGUUAGUCUUGAGUAAGGUUGAAGUGGCUGGAAUAAGUAGUGUAGCGGUGAAAUGCAUAGAUAUUACUUAGAACACCAAUUGCGAAGGCAGGUCACUAAGUCUUAACUGACGCUGAUGGACGAAAGCGUGGGGAGCGAACAGGAUUAGAAACCCUUGUAGUCCC
rnacentral:rRNA from 1 species